rnacentral:rRNA from 1 species
CCUACGGGGCGCAGCAGUGAGGAAUAUUGGUCAAUGGGCGCGAGCCUGAACCAGCCAAGUAGCGUGAAGGAUGACUGCCCUACGGGUUGUAAACUUCUUUUGUCAAGGAAUAAAGUGAGGCACGUGUGCCUUUUUGCAUGUACUUUAUGAACAAGAAUCGGCUAACUCCGUGCCAGCAGCCGCGGUAAUACGGAGGAGACGAGCGUUAUCCGGAUUUAUUGGGUUUAAAGGGAUCGUAGAUGGGUUGUUAAGUCAGUUGUGAAAGUUGGGGGCUCAACCGUAGCAGUGCAGUUGAUACUGGCAGGCUUGAGGACAGUAGAGGUAGGCGGAAUUCGUGGUGUAGCGGUGAAAUGCGUAGAUAUCACGAAGAACUCCGAUUGCGAAGGCAGCGUACUGGACUGAGACUGACGCUGAUGCACGAAAGCGUGGGUAUCAAACAGGAUUAGAUACCCUAGUAGUC